UGAUGAUUUGCUGCAUUGGCACCACAGAAAGUCAGUAAAUUAGAAUCUGGUUCUGAUGAAACCAGAGGAAAACAAACCGCAGUACUAACACUUUUUAUUGAUCUAAUAUUACACAUACAGUUAUUACUGCUCCAAUCAAUAACUGUUUUCAUCUCUGUUGGUAUUUUUACAUCUUCCACUGUUUUCUACUCAUUUUUAUUAACAUUUCUACUGUUUUUGACUUUCUGCACUUAUAUGGUAGAAAUGUCUUUUGUAAAAGUUCAAUGCAAAUUUUGUAAUUUUUUUAAAAGUCAUCCUGCUGAGCUGCACGUCCUUUAGGAGAGCAGAGCUCCGUCCUGUAAUGUUUGGAUGCUCGGCCGGACCGGGUGGGUUCUGGUCAGACCCGGUGGCCAGACGCUGCAGCAGGAAGCAGGACCGUCGCUCUGGACGACUUGAGCACUGCUGCUUUAGAUCAUAAGUAUAAUAUUUCUAUUCUAAUGUUUUCUAUGUUAUAAUCUUGUACAGUGGAUGAUUUUUGCCGUUGUUAUUGUCAAUCUGUUUACCUGAUGCUGCUGUAACCUGAAUGUCCCUCUGUGAGACAGUAAAGGCCGUUUCUGUUCUUCUA